UCUGGUGGAUCAGCGUCCGUG
rnacentral:misc_RNA from 1 species